rnacentral:rRNA from 1 species
AACGAACGCUGGCGGCAUGCCUAACACAUGCAAGUCGAACGAGACCUUCGGGUCUAGUGGCUCACGGGUGCGUAACGCGUUGGAACCUGCCCUUAGGUUCGGAAUAACUCCCCGAAAUGGGUGCUAAUACCGGAUUAUGUCUUCGGACCAAAGAUUUAUCGCCUUUGGAUGGGCCCGCGUUGGAUUAGCUAGUUGGUAUGGUAAAAGCCUACCAAGGCGACGAUCCAUAGCUGGUCUGAGAGGAUGAUCAGCCACACUGGGACUGAGACACGGCCCAGACUCCUACGGGAGGCAGCAGUGGGGAAUAUUGGACAAUGGGCGAAAGCCUGAUCCAGCAAUGCCGCGGGAGUGAUGAAGGCCGUAGGGUUGUAAAGCUAGUUUACCAGGGAUGAUAAUGACAGUACCGGGAGAAUAAGCUCCGGCUAACUCCGUG